rnacentral:rRNA from 1 species
UACGUAGGGGGCUAGCGUUGUCCGGAAUCAUUGGGCGUAAAGAGCGCGUAGGCGGCCCGGUAAGUCCGCUGUAAAAGUCCAGGGCUCAACCCUGGAAAGCCGGUGGAUACUGUCGGGCUCGAGUCCGGAAGAGGCGAGUGGAAUUCCUGGUGUAGCGGUGGAAUGCGCAGAUAUCAGGAGGAACACCAAUGGCGAAGGCAGCUCGCUGGGACGGUACUGACGCUGAGGUGCGAAAGCGUGGGGAGCAAACAGG